UCAGAAACUCAAAGGAAUUGACGGGGCCCGCACAAGCGGUGGAGUAUGUGGUUAAUUCGAUGCAACGCGAAGAACCUUACCUGGUCUUGACAUCCCGGAGACCCUUAGGAAACUAGGGGGUGCUUCCAUCUGGAAGAAUCUGGAGACAGGUGCUGCAUGGCUGUCGUCAGCUCGUGUCGUGAGAUGUUGGGUUAAGUCCCGCAACGAGCGCAACCCUUGCCUUUAGUUGCCAGCAGUUCGGCUGGGCACUCUAAAGGGACUGCCGGUGUUAAACCGGAGGAAGGUGGGGAUGACGUCAAGUCCUCAUGGCCUUUAUGACCAGGGCUACACACGUACUACAAUGGCCGAUACAAAGGGCAGCGACACUGCGAGGUGAAGCCAAUCCCGUAAAAUCGGUCUCAGUCCGGAUUGGAGUCUGCAACUCGACUCCAUGAAGUUGGAAUCGCUAGUAAUCGUGGAUCAGCAUGCCACGGUGAAUACGUUCCCGGGCCUU
rnacentral:rRNA from 1 species